GUCAGUGUACAUCUUCAGACUGAUGACCAAAAUGAGGCAGGGCUGGGGAAGCCCCUAGAGGCCACCAUCAUCACCAAUGAGAAGCGAGGAGGUGCUUCAAGGCUCAGGUGACCUGGCCUCCUUGGCAGCAUCCAAUGUAUCUGGCCUCUGUCUCUUCAGUGCAGAUUCAAGUGCAACACAUGCAGGAGUGUGACCCCUGUCGUCUCCCUGGUGGAUGUGCAUCACAGCAGUGCCUCUCCCAUGAUUUUGCUGUGUGCAGAGGUGAGC